rnacentral:rRNA from 1 species
GAGUUUGAUCGUGGCUCAGAUUGAACGCUGGCGGCAUGCCUUACACAUGCAAGUCGAACGGCAGCAUGAUCUAGCUUGCUAGAUUGAUGGCGAGUGGCGAACGGGUGAGUAAUACAUCGGAACGUGCCCUGUAGUGGGGGAUAACUAGUCGAAAGAUUAGCUAAUACCGCAUACGACCUGAGGGUGAAAGUGGGGGACCGCAAGGCCUCAUGCUAUAGGAGCGGCCGAUGUCUGAUUAGCUAGUUGGUGGGUAAAGGCCCACCAAGGCGACGAUCAGUAGCUGGUCUGAGAGGACGAUCAGCCACACUGGGACUGAGACACGGCCCAGACUCCUACGGGAGGCAGCAGUGGGGAAUUUGGACAAUGGGCGAAAGCCUGAUCCAGCAAUGCGCGUGUGUGAAGAAGGCC